AUGAACGCUGGCGGCGUGCCUAAUACAUGCAAGUCGAGCGAACAGAUAAGGAGCUUGCUCCUUUGACGUUAGCGGCGGACGGGUGAGUAACACGUGGGUAACCUACCUAUAAGACUGGGAUAACUUCGGGAAACCGGAGCUAAUACCGGAUAACAUUUGGAACCGCAUGGUUCUAAAGUGAAAGAUGGUUUUGCUAUCACUUAUAGAUGGACCCGCGCCGUAUUAGCUAGUUGGUAAGGUAACGGCUUACCAAGGCGACGAUACGUAGCCGACCUGAGAGGGUGAUCGGCCACACUGGAACUGAGACACGGUCCAGACUCCUACGGGAGGCAGCAGUAGGGAAUCUUCCGCAAUGGGCGAAAGCCUGACGGAGCAACGCCGCGUGAGUGAUGAAGGGUUUCGGCUCGUAAAACUCUGUUAUUAGGGAAGAACAAAUGUGUAAGUAGCUGUGCACGUCCUGACGGUACCUAAUCAGAAAGCCACGGCUAACUACGUG
rnacentral:rRNA from 1 species